rnacentral:misc_RNA from 1 species
AAAAUUUAAAGCUGGACAGAACCUAAGAUAUUUACAGAUUUGGCUUCAUCAUAUCACUUGACUUUAUUUUACUAGUCAGAAUGCUAUCAGUUAUAGGCCAUAAACUGUGAAAGGAGCAACAAACAUGGUCGGCUAUCCACUAAAAUCUCAUUGCUUGGAGACAUUAGUGAUAAACCUCCUCCAGUGGACACAUUAUCUUUUUCCCUUUUGUGUGUCAUAGCCAGUAUUAUUUACACA